UGCUGCUGUCAUGCACCACCACAUAGUCAAAGUCACACACAUCCUGAGUCUCCAGGCUGAAGUUUCUGAAGUGCAGCGUGAUGACGUGACCCUCCUCAACGGAGAUGUGCCAUACGCAAAACUAAGGAGAUGGAACGAGCUGUCUUCUAGAUGCUCCUGUAUCUCCAGCCAGUCAAACAAACAGGGAGAGGGACCCUCAAUAUUCAAAAAGGUCACAUGGAUCUGAAUUAAUUGAGGGGGCGUGGCUUGGAUGACCCACACACACAAGGUGUUGGGGGGAUAGGAGCCCGGGUAGUUUGUCGUAGGGAUGCUGGCAGGGUGGAGUACUGGCACACUGUCUAACUGGCUUCUGUUUGCAGGAACUGAAGGUAAUUCCCCACCUCCUGCACUCAACGGGUCCGGAGGGCUGGUGGACAACAGUUGCUCCUCAAGACACUCACGUGUGAGGAUGAGGGCCAGUGUCAGGCCGAGAGCCACAACCAGGAGCAGGGCAGCGACAGAGACCACUACCUUCCCCCAGCCACAACCUGCACCCCGCAAAGUUUUAGGUUCAAGGAUGUCAAAUUCUUCAAUUUCAAUGUUCUCAUCGCAGAAGGUCAUCUGCAACUGUUCCAAAAUCGCAGAGAGAGGUAUGUCUUGCGCUGCCGAUCCCCCGACUGUUUUAUUAGCAGCCGAUUUAUUCUUAGCCAUUUUUUCUUUCGUUCUUCUUCGGAUAUCUUGCCAUCUUUUCUUAACUUCAUCUGGGGUUCUACUUGUUUUACCCACAGCAUUGACUUUCUUACAGAUUGUCUCCCAUAUUGCGUUUCUUCUGUUUAUAUUGAGAUUUCUUUCCUGCAACUCACCAAUGUGCUUGUUUGGUUCUUCCACUAACACUGCCAACUCCAUCACUUCAAACUUCAUUUUGCGCUUGCGGUUCUCUCCCACAUU